AUUGAACGCUGGCGGCAUGCUUUACACAUGCAAGUCGAACGGUAACAGGCCGCAAGGUGCUGACGAGUGGCGAACGGGUGAGUAAUGCAUCGGAACGUGCCCAGUCGUGGGGGAUAACGCAGCGAAAGCUGCGCUAAUACCGCAUACGAUCUAUGGAUGAAAGCGGGGGACCGUAAGGCCUCGCGCGAUUGGAGCGGCCGAUGUCAGAUUAGGUAGUUGGGGGGGUAAAGGCCCACCAAGCCAACGAUCUGUAGCUGGUCUGAGAGGACGACCAGCCACACUGGGACUGAGACACGGCCCAGACUCCUACGGGAGGCAGCAGUGGGGAAUUUUGGACAAUGGGCGCAAGCCUGAUCCAGCAAUGCCGCGUGCAGGAAGAAGGCCUUCGGGUUGUAAACUGCUUUUGUACGGAACGAAACGGUCCUGGUUAAUACCCGGGGCUAAUGACGGUACCGUAAGAAUAAGCACCGGCUAACUACGUGCCAGCCGCCGCAGUAAUAC
rnacentral:rRNA from 1 species